rnacentral:rRNA from 1 species
UCGACCUGAGCUCACGCAAGA